AUUGAACGCUGGCGGCAGGCCUAACACAUGCAAGUCGAGCGGUAGAGAGAAGCUUGCUUCUCUUGAGAGCGGCGGACGGGUGAGUAAUGCCUAGGAAUCUGCCUGAUAGUGGGGGAUAACGUCCGGAAACGGACGCUAAUACCGCAUACGUCCUACGGGAGAAAGUGGGGGCUCUUCGGACCUCACGCUAUCAGAUGAGCCUAGGUCGGAAUAGCUAGUUGGUGGGGUAAAGGCUUACCAAGGCGACGAUCCGUAACUGGUCUGAGAGGAUGAUCAGUCACACUGGAACUGAGACACGGUCCAGACUCCUACGGGAGGCAGCAGUGGGGAAUAUUGGACAAUGGGCGAAAACCUGAUCCAGCCAUGCCGCGUGUGUGAAGAAGGUCUUCGGAUUGUAAAGCACUUUAAGUUGGGAGGAAGGGUCGUUACCUAAUACGUGGCGAUUUUGACGUUACCGACAGAAUAAGCACCGGCUAACUCUGUGCCAGCAGCCGCGGUAAAAC
rnacentral:rRNA from 1 species